rnacentral:tRNA from 1 species
UGUUUCUAGAGUGUUUAGGCACAUUAGAUUUUCGUUCUAAAAGAAUAAAAUUAUAUUAUUAGAAAUAUC